AAAAAAAAAAUGGAUCUUACUUAACUCACUUGCAAAAAUUAAUUGAGAGAAAAAAACAGUGCCCAAAACAUUAUGGGUGACAUUAUUUUUAUCCCAAAUUAAUAUGCUGUAUUAACAUAUAAAUUACUUAUGUAUUGAUACAUUAUAUAAAAUAAUUAGUUAAAAUAAAUUCCAUUAAGGAAAUCUAGUGUGAUCAUGAUCAUUAAAGUUUGAGUUGCACCAGCCUUUAAUGCCUGUAGUAACGGUGUACCAAGACUCUUAAAGAAGACAUGAAAUAACUUUCUGCAAAAAGUCUAAUACAUUAGCUAACCUUCUUGAUAAACCAUGUCCACUUGCCUCACAAGGAAAUUACCUGACGAAUGUAACACGUAUAUUCGCCAAUGCUUCAUUCACUUGCUCUGACAUUUACAGGUGGCACACUUUUAUUAGUAAAGAUAUCUUAUAUAAAUCGUGUAUGAGGAACAUUACUCAUUUAUUAUUUUUCUUAUUCAUUUCUUAUAUUUAUCUCCCUUCUCUCUCUCUCUUUAUGCUUUCUCAUCUUUCUAAUUUGAGCAUCAGAGGAGGGUCUUUGCUAAAGGUGUCUUUGUU
rnacentral:misc_RNA from 1 species